rnacentral:lncRNA from 1 species
UUUUUAAUGUAUUUUUUUUCCUUUUAAAUCAGCUUUUUAUUUUUUUUUUCUUCUAUAACUGUUAUUUCAAUUUCCCAUAGCACCUUGGCAAUGUCAAAAACAAAUACAAAUACAUGUAUCAUCAUCAUUUGAACAUUUAAAGCAUGGAACCUACUCGACACAGAUCUGUGGGGGUUGGUUUUUUUUGGGACAGGUUUGACAACAACCGGGACAGACAGGAGCCAGAUGGGUGCUUCUUUCUCCUUCCGCUCAGGCCCUGCCCUGUGAGGAGCUGGGAGAUGCUGUGGGGAAGCUGGACUCACCCGGGAGGAACACGAGGGCUGCACUCAGGAGCCAGACUCUGCUGCUGGGAAAUGUACAUCCAGGACACACACAGCAUCCUUUCCACGGUCAAGUUUCCCCAAUCACCAUUCAAGAAAGACUGAACUGCAGUUCCUCUUUUUCCACAAGUAAUAAAAUAAUGUUCUAAACAAAGUUCCAUUUCACAAUUGUUAAAAGCUCUGAUUCCACCUUGGAGCACUGUGUGGUUACCAGGUGCACUGCGAGCACCCCAGUGCUUCCUGGACCCCCAGUGACAGCACACAUUUACCCACACAUCUGUGACUAUCACAGGUUUUCCAGUUUGACUGCAGUCAUUUGUAGCCUUUAAAUGGAUCAAAAAAAAAAAAAAUCUGAACUCCAUUUCAGAACUUAAAACAUCUCAAAAUAUUUGAAUUUCUCUAUCAUUCCAACAAACGUAGCAUUACUGAAAUAAAUGGAGAAGGGUUCUGUAAGCAUUCCUAAG